UUCUCUGCCUCAAUCAAAACCAUAUCCCCUUUUUAAUUCAUAUAACUCUACAAACCUUCUCUACCCAAGAGAAUAUUGUUCCUACUCUCAACACUAUUAUUAUUAUUUUACAUUAACCCCCAUUUUGUUCUCAUUCUCUUCAAAUAUUUAAAACAAAAUACAAACAUUAUUAUACAUUUAACAAAUACUUGAAAGGAUUAGUAUUUUUUUUUAAUUAUCAACAUUUUCACAUUCACUUUUCAUACAAUAUAAUACACUCUACUCAUCUCUCUCUUUACUCAAGAAAUAAAUUUUUUAUUUAUUUAAAAUUAUGCAAAUAAUAAUAAAUAAAUAAAAAGAUGCCUCACGCACAUCUCCAGAGGUAGGCCACACUAAAAAUCAAAAAGUAAAUAAAUAAAUAAAAUAAUAAAUAAUAAAAAAAUACAUUCACCACCACACAAAGACCAAAAACCCUUUGUAAAACACAAUAGGGUUAUAAGAUCACAAAAAUCUCUAUUGAGUUCUUCUUUUUCCUCUGUUCAAACCAAAACCCAUCUGAAAAUCAACUAAAAUCUCCAAAAAACCUGUCAUGAUUUGAUCUUUCAAAAAAAGUUCAUUUUUUUUCUCCAAACCCCAAAUGGGUUUUCCCACUAGACCCUUUUCUCUUCUCAUCCUCUUCAUUCUUCCAAUCCUAACAAUUUUUGAGCUUGUUCCACUUACUGAAUCUGCAGCUGAUUACACUUCUCUGGUUUACAAAGGUUGUUCAAAGCAAGUUUUCUCAGAUCCAACAGGGGUUUACUCCCAAACCCUUUCAGCUCUUUUGGGUUCUCUAGUUCAACAAUCAUCAAAGACCAAAUUUUUCAAAACCUCAUCUGGGAGUGGCCAAACCUCAUUCACUGGUUUAUUUCAAUGCAGAGGAGAUCUAAGCAAUGCUGAUUGUUACAACUGUGUUAGCAAACUACCUUCAAUGGCUGACAAUCUCUGUGGAAAGACAGUAGCUGCAAGAGUCCAGCUUUAUGGUUGCUAUUUGCUCUAUGAAGUUUAUGGCUUUGCUCAGAUUUCAGGCAUGGAAAUGCUUUACAAGACAUGUGGGAGUACUAAUGUGGCUGGUACUGGCUUUGAGGAGAGAAGAGACACUGCUUUUAAUGUCAUGGAAAAUGGUGUUGUUUCAGGACAUGGUUUCUACACAACAAACUAUCAACAAGUAUAUGUUUUGGCUCAGUGUGAAGGUGAUGUUGGUGACUCAGAUUGUAGUGAGUGUGUUAAGACUGCUGUUCAGAGAUCUGAGGUUGAGUGUGGGAGUUCUAUAUCAGGACAAAUUUAUCUCCAUAAGUGUUUCAUUAGUUAUAGUUAUUAUCCAAAUGGGGUUCCAAGAAGAUCAUCCUCUUCUUCAUCAUCUUCUUCAUCUUCAUCAGUUGGUGGAGCAAAUACAGGCAAAACUGUGGCUAUAAUAUUAGGAGGAGCAGCUGGAGUUGGAUUUCUAGUCAUUUGUAUGUUGUUUGCAAGAAAUUUGAUGAAGAAACAUGAUGAUUUUUGACAGAGAAAAAGAAAAAGGAAGGAAACUUAAAAGAGGCAAAAUAGCUAUUUUGAGGCAAAUCUUUGGAUAGGUUGAUAGGGCCAUAAACGCAUACCAACAACAAACAAGCCUAUGAUCUAAUCUUUUUGACCUAUUUUCUCUCUACUCUUUCUAUGCACCAUUUUUAAUUUCUGUAAUUGUUUAGGUUGUUAUUAGUUAAACUCAAUUAGUUGAUUAAUAAUACAAGAUGGUGCUUCAUGUAAUUUAAAUCGGUAUUUAACAAAAUAAAAAUAAAGGGUUAAUUGGUUAACUAAGAUAACUAGUACUAUGAAGUGUCCUAUAAUAAUUUUUAUUAAAAUAAAAUGAGUGGGAUUUAAUAUUAAAUUGUACUAAUCACAAUAUUACACCUUUGAGGUAACUAGUUAUUUAGGAUAUGUCUAUAUUACAAAAGGGUUAGAAAAUUUUGAGUAGUUUACAAUGUUGUAAUUAAGGUUUAAAUAUUUUGUUGUAUGUGUAACUGUUUUUUUUUAUAAGAGUGGUAAGUAACUAUUUAGA